GUCUGCCUGCCUCUGCCAUGAGAGUCCUGGGAGUAUAGCCACUCACUACCACUGCCUGGCACCACUGGCCUUCUUUAAUGACGCCAAUUAGCAUGCCAAGGACCCUUGGAUCGCCACCUUCACAGCUGGAGUUCUCUUCAGACUUUUCAAUCUGUCUCCCCUCUCUUCCCAUUUCUUCCCUAACCCACUGCACACCGCCUUCCAUGUUUGCCUCUCCAUUGAAACGACUCCUUUCUAGUUCCGUACGCUAGCCAGCUUCCCUGUGUAAUACAGCCCAAGCUUGGUUUCUGUGACUCGGUUUCUUUGUGAUGAGCCUCUGAUGUGGUCUCUCUGGCUUUCACUGGUCUUGUUUCUCCACCUGACCCUGAUACGCUGAAAUGUCCCUGAGUUGACUUUGUCCUUGGUUAAUUCUAUUCUUGUUCUGCACACUCCUAGCGUGAAUUUAGGUGACAUUUUAUGUAACGACUACAUUGAGGCUUCUGGUUCUCAGGUUUGUUAUCUGAUCUUACAUCUUGAGCUCCAGCCCCUCACAUCUUCCCGGGCGCUCUGCAGGUGCAUCAAAGUCAGUAUGCUCCAUGAGACCCCAGUAUGAGGUCUCCUAACACUUUGUCAUUCUCAGAACAGCACCCAAGAUACCACACCCUCCAUCAUGUUGUGGGCUCCUGAGAGCAGGGCCACAUUCCUUCAUUCAUCUUCCUGUCUCUAGAAUAGAUCCUGGAACACAGUAGGUGCUCAAUUAGUGUAAAUUGAGUGAAUAAAUGAAGGACAUGUUUAUCUCAAAGUUAAGAGAUGCACAACUGUAUAUUUGAGUAUCUUAUGUUAUAGCACUCAGCAAAGUCCAGCAAACCAUCUCUGGAUAUGGGACUUUCUUUCUGAUAGUCUUUCCAGAGAAGCUUGAUGCUAUGGAAUUUCCUGUGGUGAUAGGGAGGGCUUUCAUCUGCGAGGUCCAGUUUAGUAGUCAUCAACAGCAUGUGACGACUGAGACUAGAAACAGCUUAAGGACAUGAAAAUGUUAUUUUAUUUAGUUUCAAUUCAUUUAAGUCUAACUAGGCAAGAUGGCCAGUGGCUGCUAAAUUAAACUAUAAUUUAAUUAAUUGUUUUAAAGAGCAGUUUCUUCAUAGCUAUCCUGAUACCACACUGUUACCUUCUUCCUGCCUCAGUUUCCUCAACUCUCCCUCUGCCUAAGUUGGCAGCUGAGUUUUUACACUUGAUCUUAGCCAAAAGGCCGAGAAGCGAUUGCAGCUGAGUUUUUAAAAGGCUUAUCUUAUACAGACUGUAGGAUAACACCAGACCCCAGCAGCGUUUAAAGAGAACUCGUUAGUGUUACACUGGUUGAGACCACAUUUCUCCUGGGGUUUCCAUUUUUCUCAUUAGAAAGGUAAGGGGUGAGUUGUGGUGGGUUGCGAUGGACUGAAACUGACUUUAUCUGCUUUGUGGGCCAACUGUGCACAGGUCUGCCCAGCAUCCUGCUCACUGAUUGGUAACUUGCAGUUGGCCCUAAUAGGACUGUGAAGACCAUACUCAGUGUCUUACGCUUAGAACACGUAUAUAAACUUACAAAAAGGGAGCAACAGAGUGGAUCCUUAGAAUGUUAAAGGAGUCUUGGCUUAACUGGAGACUGUACUUGCAAACCUUUAUCCCCGAGAGCCACAGUAAACAUGCUUAAGAGUCCUACACACCGGGGUUGGGGAUUUAGCUCAGCAGUAGAGCACUUGCCUAGCAAGCGCAAGGCCCUGGGUUUGGUCCCCAACUCCGAAAAAAAGAAAAAAGAAAAAAAGAAAAAAAAAAAGAGUCCUACACACCAACCGCACCAUGAAGGCAUCUGCAUCUUCACUAAAAUGGGGUGGCUCUGGUUCCACUAAUCAGACAUAGUUGUUCCCUGGUGACUCUCUUAGGGACUGCCUCUCUAAAGAUCUGAGGAAGAAAACUAUGGCUAGAACUCCACCAUGGCCAGAAGGAUUUUCCUACAAAGCACUUUAUCUGCAGAGUGUAAACCUGUCAUUAAGCACCUGCUGUCUGCUGGGUCAAGUUCAAACUCCUUUCCAAAGUCAAAAGAUUCUCUGCAGAUAACUUGGCUCUGUCUCGGUCUCCUCUCUUGUAUGCCCUUUCACCUUACCUGCUCACAAAAUAAAUACCCUUGGAUGCUCUCAG
rnacentral:lncRNA from 1 species